CUCCUGAUCCCUGUCCAUCUGCUGCCCGGGAAGCCAGGCCACUUGUGGGGCUGGAUGUGUGGGGCAGACAGCCUGACUGAGUUGCCACAGGUGCCCUGAAUCUUGGGGAUGAAGCAGGCAUGCUUCCUGCCACGGGGUCGGGAAGGAGCCAGGGAGGGAGCAGGGGGGCCUGCAGCAACAGGCAGGGUGGUGACACAAAGACCCAUUCACCAUCUCCAGGGCAGUGGCGACUCUCAGGGGAAUCUCUCAGUGGCUGGGGGUGGAGAGAAGCCAGUUCCCAGCAGACAGCUUCAUGCCUGUGUGGCGUGACAUCUCUAUUUCCUCCAGAGGCUCUAGAACACAGGAGCCUGCAGCCUAGGCCCCCACCCCGCCAUCCUAAAUAACGGUGGCAGGCGCUACUCUCAACACCUUAGCUGCUUUUACUUGCUGAAUUCUCACAACAACAGAGAUCUCAUGGGGAGGUGGGGAAGGAACCUCAAGCCAAGGCGUCCAGGAGCUGAACAAGGCAAGGACACAGCUUCUCCCCUUGGAGCCUCAGAGGAGCUGACCCUGCCCACACCAUGACUUCAGCCCGGUGAAACUGAUAACAGACUUUUGGCCUCCAGAACUGUAAGAGAAUACAUUUGUGUUGUUUUAAGCCACUGAGUGUAUGGUCAUUUGCUUCAACAGCGAGAGGGAAGUCAUGCACUAGCAUAGAGGUGACAAUCAUAGGUUUUGGCAAGGGAUAGAAACAGGUUUGAAUCCCAGCUACUCCCUUGUCUAAUGGGAUAAUCUUGAGCAAGUGGCUUCAUCUCUCUGCUCCUCAGUUUACCUUAUCUAAGAAAAG
rnacentral:lncRNA from 10 species